AAAACUAAAAAAUAUAAAAUAUACACACUCAUACAUUCAUGUAUGCAUUCUACAUCUUGUCUAAGCCACAGACGCUCUGGCAAAGUUCUUCCUGUGUUAUCCAUGUCCUAUGAGGAUACACACUACUUGUAGUUGCUAUAAGUCGGCCUAUUCUAUGGCACCAUGCUGAACCUAUGUUAUGGUGAUCAUCUUUUAAUAAUCUCACUAGAGAGAUGAAUUGUUAUGUAUAUUCAAUCCAGGAUUGUAUCUUUUAUUUAAUUGUCAAGUCUCUGUGUUCUUUUAAUCUGGAAGUUUCCCAACUUUUGACUUUUAUGAUGCUGACAUUUUUAAAGAAUGUGAGCCAUUUGUUUUGUAAAAUGAACUUCACAUUUGGUUUUUAUGUUUCCUCAUGUUUAGAUCCAUGUUUGCACAUGAGAUUCAUGUUGUCAGUUUGUCCUAAUAUUGGUAAUCUUAACUUUGUUAGUUGGAUUAUAUUAGUAUCUGUGAGGUUUUCAGGUAUUUCCACUAUAAUAAAAGUACUAGUUUUUAUUGUAAUUAGUAGGUAAUCUGUGCAGAGAUAAUUUCAGACUAAGUAAAUAUUCUUUUGUAUCUUCACCCAAUGGUUUUGACAUUCAUUAAUGAUUCUUACCUUAGUUACUAAUGUGAUGAUUAAAAAUUACUAUGCAAUGGUGAUUUUUCUUUCAUUCCUGUUACAUUUAUUAGUUGAAAUUUAAUAGCGUUUUGCCUGAAUUUUAAACCUAACAAAAUACAGUUUCUAAAAUGAAAAAUUAAAGUUGAGAAAUAUUGUUUGAGCCUUAGGGUUUUCCCAGUUAUACCUAUUACUUUUAAGAACUAAAUUGUUUUUGAAACAUCUUCAAGAUUAGAAUCAGAGUACUUUGCAUUAAUGUGGAAGAGAAUUUUGUAGUGUUUAGGAGUUACCUAGAAGUACUAGAGUGGGCAUGGCUGGAUGAUGUCAAAGUUAAUCAUUGUAUAAGUUGCUGUGUCGCUAGCUUUGACAGUUUCUAGCUAGUCCUUCUUUGGGCUUGGGUGCCAAGGAUAGAGACAUUGACUUGUUAAAAUAAUUUGGGUUCUUGCCGCAGUCUGGCUGGGCACAAAUCACCUAGCCACCACAAAGCACUUGUCAAACAGGAAGCUUUAUUGCCCGAACUCUACCAGCACUCCGCGAAUACUCCCCGGGAACUCUCCCAGCUCUCCACCGGGCUCUGUGCCCUCUCUCUCUGUCUCUCUCCAGAACUCAAAGGGAACUCCAAAGUGGCGGGCGCCUGAGGCAGCAGGAACCACCCUAUUCCUGGAGCUGAUUCCAGAGCCACCCUAUUGCCGGACAGCAGGGGUCCAUAAACAACUCAAAACACAGCCUGUCCCAAUCCAGCAUCAUCCAGUCACAGCAAUUAUAACUUAAUUAUCAUCACCUUAAUGGCUUGCUGGUGUCACCUCUUAACCACUCCUUCUGGUGCCAUCC
rnacentral:lncRNA from 1 species